rnacentral:rRNA from 1 species
UGGGGUGACUGCGUACCUUUUGUAUAAUGGGUCAGCGACUUAUAUUCUGUAGCAAGGUUAACCGAAUAGGGGAGCCGGAGGGAAACCGAGUCUUAAUUGGGCGUUAAGUUGCAGGGUAUAGACCCGAAACCCGGUGAUCUAGCCAUGGGCAGGUUGAAGGUUGGGUAACACUAACUGGAGGACCGAACCGACUAAUGUUGAAAAAUUAGCGGAUGACCUGUGGCUGGGGGUGAAAGGCCAAUCAAACCGGGAGAUAGCUGGUUCUCCCCGAAAGCUAUUUAGGUAGCGCCUCGUGAAUUCAUCUCCGGGGGUAGAGCACUGUUUCGGCUAGGGGGCCAUCCCGGCUUACCAACCCGAUGCAAACUGCGAAUACCGGAGAAUGUUAUCACGGGAGACACACGGCGGGUGCUAACGUCCGUCGUGAAGAGGGAAACAACCCAGACCGCCAGCUAAGGUCCCAAAGUCAUGGUUAAGUGGGAAACGAUGUGGGAAGGCCCAGACAGCCAGGAUGUUGGCUUAGAAGCAGCCAUCAUUUAAAGAAAGCGUAAUAGCUCACUGGUCGAGUCGGCCUGCGCGGAAGAUGUAACGGGGCUAAACCAUGCACCGAAGCUGCGGCAGCGAACGUAUCACCCAAGACAACUUUACGGAGUUGACGAUUGACGGAGCGAAGCGACGUCAAAGCGUUCAUUAAAGUCGAGUUGGCUUAGGGAUACGUUCGUUGGGUAGGGGAGCGUUCUGUAAGCCUGUGAAGGUGUGUCGUGAGGCAUGCUGGAGGUAUCAGAAGUGCGAAUGCUGACAUAAGUAACGAUAAAGCGGGUGAAAAGCCCGCUCGCCGGAAGACCAAGGGUUCCUGUCCAACGUUAAUCGGGGCAGGGUGAGUCGACCCCUAA